GGUUCAGUGAGGAAGUGGUUCAUUUAAAGUAAAUAAAAAAGAAGUGAUUCAGUAAAAAUCAAAACUACAUGAAGAUAAGAAACUCGCUUAAAUAGUUGACAUUGUAAAAGUCAGUUCGGAUUCUUAUACUGCAUGUGUAGCUUUAGGUUUUGAAAUAGGACCAAUGUUUGUUUCAGAAGGAUGAAACUCAAAUACCUAAUUCUGUAAAACUCUACGAUCUAACUAGUGAAUUCAAAAACCUAAUUCUGUAAAACUCAACGACGUAACUAUUAAACUCUAAGACCUAAUUCUGUAGAGUGUAAAUAUCUAAUUUAGUCAAAAUGAUACAUCUAGCUGUGUAUCGCACUUUGAGACAAGGAACAUGAUGUUUCCUCAAAGCACAACGCCAAGUACCUAAUAAACUUUGUGCUAAAGUACAAUCAAUAAACUUUGUGCUAAAGUACAAUCAAUAAACUUUGUGCUAAAGUACAAUCAAUAAACUUUGUGCUAAAGUACAAUCAAUAAACUUUGUGCUAAAGUACAAUCAAUAAACUUUGUGCUAAAGUACAAUCAAUAAACUUUGUGCUAAAGUACAAUCAAUAAACUUUGUGCUAAAGUACAAUCAAUAAACUUUGUGCUAAAGUACAAUCAAUAAACUUUGUGCUAAAGUACAAUCAAUAAACUUUGUGCUAAAGUACAAUCAAUAAACUUUGUGCUAAAGUACAAUCAAUAAACUUUGUGCUAAAGUACAAUCAAUAAACUUUGUGCUAAAGUACAAUCAACUUGUAGAGACUAUUUGUGUCCCAGAACGUUUUGUUUCUUCCUAUUUUUCACUUUGCUCUUUCAAAAAAAAACAACAGCGAUCAAAAUGUUUCACACACACUCGUUGGCGUCCCCUGUGGGUCGGUUGUUUAGCAAGUAAUCGGCCUGCUGGUCAGACAUGAACGCAGCAAACAUGUGGAUAAGAUUAUGUGUGACAUUUUGUGUUGGAAUCAGAGACUAGGAAUUAUCAAAAACCACAAGGCCAUCUUCACCUUAACAAAAUGAAGGAACCGUGGAAAUAAUGCACAAAAUGUGUCGCUUUCUGAAUACAGCAUGGUUUUCUUGGUGUAGACUGUAGACUAAUCAAUGGACAUGUCGGUAUUGCAGAAGGAGAACGCGCUAUCACUGAGGUGCAAUGAGACUCUCGUACACAUUUCUUUGUUGAUGGAAACAUGCAAGGAUUUGUGUGUUAUCCUUUGAAUCAAAGAGAGGUGUAGUUCAAAAGUCAUUCCUCAACAAGAAACUAUUUCACAGAUUCACUCAACAACAGCUGGAGUCAAAUACAUUAUGCAACUUCAUAUAAAAAAUAACGACUUGGGAUUGCGAAUACUUCAAUCUGCCGAUUGGCUUGACAUCUACAAAACAUCAGGUACUAGGUACUGCUUGACAUCUACAAAACAUCAGGUACUAGGUACUGCUUGACAUCUACAAAACAUCAGGUACAGGUACUGCUGGGUAAUGACUGCACCCGAGCCAAACUAACAUUUGUUUGUUUAGGAACAUUACUAUUUCAAGAUUACAAUAAAAUAUAUCUUGUUGAUCUAUU